GACGAAGGGGGCUAGCGUUGUUCGGAAUUACUGGGCGUAAAGCGUGUGUAGGUGGUUGUCAUAGUCAGGUGUGAAAGCCUUGAGCUCAACUCAAGAAAUGCACUUGAUACUGGGCAGCUAGAGGACCGGAGAGGAUAGUGGAAUUCCCAGUGUAGUGGUGAAAUACGUAGAGAUUGGGAAGAACACCAGUGGCGAAGGCGGCUGCCUGGCCUGUAACUGACGCUGAGACGCGAAAGCGUGGGGAGCGAACCGG
rnacentral:rRNA from 1 species